UCUCCUGCCACGUAAUGUCAACGGAAGGGCUUGCCAUAGCAAUACCGUUGCACCUAAACUCUUUGGCUCAAUACUUCUGAAGGAGGCAUUCAGGAAGCAUUUUUGUGAGUUAAAAGGAAGGUAACUGACAUGCAGGCUGAUAUAUCGUCUGUACAGUACGGAACGUGGCUGGAUGGAACUAGAGUAUAUUGUCUGAAUGGUGAAAGGUUAACAUUUUUGCAAGAGGAAACAAAUAGUCCAUGAGUCCAUAUGAGAUCAAGGAGCCCCAUCAUCCAGGCCAUGCUCUCUUCUUGCUGCUACCAUCAGGAAGGAGAUACAGAAGCCUCGGGUCCCACACCACCAGGUUUGGGAAUAGGUAUUACCCUACAACCAUCCAGCUCCUGAACCAGAGAGGAUAAGUUCACUCACUUCAACACUGAACUGAUCACUUUCAAGGUCUCUGCAACUCAUGUUCUCAGUUUUCUUUUAUCUUUUUUUAAUACUUGCUUUUUUUUUGAAUGUGCACAUUUUUUCAGUCUUUGUGUGUAAUUUUUCAUUGAUUUUAUUGCACUGUUUUGUUCUACAAUGAAAGCCUGCAAGAAAAUGAAUCCUUUUGUUGUAUCU